UACAGAGGUCUCAAGCGUUGUUCGGAUUUAUUGGGCGUAAAGAGCUCGUAGGCGGCUAAGUAAGUCAGGUGUGAAAACUCCAGGCUCAACCUGGAGACGCCACCUGAUACUGCUUUGGCUAGAGUCCGGUAGGGGAGCAUGGAAUUCCUGGUGUAGCGGUGAAAUGCGCAGAUAUCAGGAGGAACACCAGUGGCGAAGGCGGUGCUCUGGGCCGGAACUGACGCUGAGGAGCGAAAGCGUGGGGAGCAAACAGG
rnacentral:rRNA from 1 species